UAUAUGCUUUCUGCGAUUUUUUUCUUUUUGUUGCUAUUAUCACCACUUUAGUAACUAUAUUUUACCAUCUUGUUUAUGUAAAAAAUAACACCUCCAGCGUUCAACCCUGGACCUCUUCUCCCGAAGUCAUUAAAAUUAAAUUCAAAUCGAGAAAGAUUUACGAGGAAUGUAGGCACAAGAAUCCCAACGACCACAAAAUUGCAAAAGAGUUGUUAUUAAACAGAGCCAUAGACGCUUUGAAACGGCAAAGUAUAUUGGAAAAUUAUCGAAAGGGGUUUCUUACUUUAAAAGAUAAUCUACCAGACGACUUUUCUAAACAAGUAGAAAGUCUUUUCUUAGAAAUUGACAAAGAAAUGGUCGAAAUUACAGCUGAAAGUAAUCUUCUUGUGUCAGGAUGGGGGAAUUCUAUAUUUAACGAUGCUUUUCACCUAUUGGAAAAAAACAUUUCCUCAAAAAAUGAAUUCGAGAAACUUCUUUUAGAUGCUCUUGAUAAAAUGGAAAAGACUGGAGAUAAGCCUAUUUUAAGAGCUGGAGAAGAUGAUAAUAGUCAACUCGUUUCUAUUAAUUUUUCAAAA